GACGAACGCUGGCGGCGUGCCUAAUACAUGCAAGUAGAACGCACAGGAUGCACCGUAGUUUACUACACCGUAUUCUGUGAGUUGCGAACGGGUGAGUAACGCGUAGGUAACCUGCCUGGUAGCGGGGGAUAACUAUUGGAAACGAUAGCUAAUACCGCAUAAGAACAUUUACUGCAUGGUAGAUGUUUAAAAGGUGCAAAUGCAUCACUACCAGAUGGACCUGCGUUGUAUUAGCUAGUAGGUGAGGUAACGGCUCACCUAGGCGACGAUACAUAGCCGACCUGAGAGGGUGAUCGGCCACACUGGGACUGAGACACGGCCCAGACUCCUACGGGAGGCAGCAGUAGGGAAUCUUCGGCAAUGGGGGGAACCCUGACCGAGCAACGCCGCGUGAGUGAAGAAGGUUUUCGGAUCGUAAAGCUCUGUUGUUAAGGAAGAACGAGUGUGAGAAUGGAAAGUUCAUG
rnacentral:rRNA from 1 species